GAUGAACGCUGGCGGCGUGCCUAAUACAUGCAAGUCGAGCGAACGGACGAGAAGCUUGCUUCUCUGAUGUUAGCGGCGGACGGGUGAGUAACACGUGGAUAACCUACCUAUAAGACUGGGAUAACUUCGGGAAACCGGAGCUAAUACCGGAUAAUAUUUUGAACCGCAUGGUUCAAAAGUGAAAGACGGUCUUGCUGUCACUUAUAGAUGGAUCCGCGCUGCAUUAGCUAGUUGGUAAGGUAACGGCUUACCAAGGCAACGAUGCAUAGCCGACCUGAGAGGGGGAUGGCCGACACGAGAGCGGGGACGGGGACAAGCCUCCGGGGGGAGGGACCAGACGGGAAUGUUCCGAAGUGGGGGAGAGCGUGGGGCAAGAGGGCGAAGGGAGAGGAAAAGGUCUCGGGAUCGGAAAGCUGGUUUAUGGGGGAAAAAAAGAUGUGUAAGGAGAUGAACAUUUAGUGACGGUACUUAAUAAAAAAGCACGGGCUAACUACGUG
rnacentral:rRNA from 1 species